CCUACGGGAGGCAGCAGUGGGGAAUAUUGGGCAAUGGGCGCAAGCCUGACCCAGCAACGCCGCGUGAAGGAAGAAGGCUUUCGGGUUGUAAACUUCUUUUAAGAGGGAAGAGCAGAAGACGGUAGCUCCAGAAUAAGCAACGGCGGACUACGGGCCAGCAGCCGCGGGAAUAAGUAGGUGGCAAGAGGUGUCCGGAUUUACUGGGUGUAGAGGGCGGGGAGCCGGGCUGACAAGUCAGAUGUGAAAUUCGGGGGCUCAACCCCGGACCUGCAUUUGAAACUGUGGGUCUUGAGUAUCGGAGAGGCAGGCGGAAUUCUUAGUGUAGCGGUGAAAUGCGUAGAUAUUAGGAGGAACACCAGUGGCGAAGGCGGGCUGCUGGACGUCAACUGACGGUGAGGCGCGAAGGCGUGGGGAGCGAACAGGAUUAGAUACCCUUGUAGUC
rnacentral:rRNA from 1 species